UACGUAGGGUGCAGGCGUUAAUCGGAAUUACUGGGCGUAAAGCGUGCGCAGGCGGUUUGCUAAGACAGGUGUGAAAUCCCCGGGCUUAACCUGGGAACUGCAUUGGUGACUGCAUUGCUGGAGUAUGGCAGAGGGGGGUGGAAUUCCACGUGUAGCAGUGAAAUGCGUAGAGAUGUGGAGGAACACCGAUGGCGAAGGCAGCCCCCUGGGCCAAUACUGACGCUCAUGCACGAAAGCGUGGGGAGCAAACAGG
rnacentral:rRNA from 1 species